GGAAUGAAGAUCAUCAGGAUUAGGCCAAUAACUUGUUGUUUGUCGCAAAAUAUAUGUUCUCAGACAUGGAAUUAAGGCACAUGUCGUGGAUUUUGUGGCAUUUAUGGUAACAUUUUAGUCAUUUUGUUCCUCAUUCAAUUUCAUUGUCUGGAAAAGAGUGGGAUAUUGUUCAAAAAUCGUGACAGGUGCUAACUAAAGUGCUUUAGUUUUACAAUCCAGAUGACUGCAAUGCUCUACAUAUUAUCAAACAACAACCCGUAUCUCAUUGUCGACCACUGUGACAUUCAGCACUGGUAGCACUACAACAGUCUUGGUGUGGAGUUUGGGGCUUGAUGCUCCUUCGUCUUCAUCAAAACCCAUGACACCGUUCUGCUCGACGCUGAAAGGAUGAAACUCAGCCAGGGCUGUAUCAAAGUCCCAUGCCUGGCGAAGGGUUAAGUCCACAUAAGAUUUAGUGUUCGUGCAGGUCUGUUUACCCACGUCGUUUCUACAGCUGGCUGUGCGCAAGGAUGCAUAACUUGUGCAAUUGCUUUGCGCAAAUGACGGAGAAUAUACACCCAUGGAUCCAGUAUAGGGUUGAAGGAGGCGAAUCUAAUAGCCAGGAGAUCACUGCGAUAGUCUGGACUUUUGCCUGAUGAUAUGUAAGCAGGAUCAUACAGCUGGUUGACAAAAA